UACGGGGGGAGCAAGCGUUGUUCGGAUUUACUGGGCGUAAAGGGCGCGUAGGCGGUCGUGACAAGUCACUUGUGAAAUCCCUGGGCUUAACCUGGGAACUGCAGUCGAUACUGGCGGACUAGAGUACGGUAGAGGGUGGCGGAACUCCGGGUGUAGCGGUGAAAUGCGUAGAUAUCCGGAAGAACACCGAUGGCGAAGGCAACCGCCUGGGCCUGUACUGACGCUGAGGUACGAAAGCGUGGGGAGCAAACAGG
rnacentral:rRNA from 1 species